UGAGGAAUAUUGGUCAAUGGACGAGAGUCUGAACCAGCCAAGUAGCGUGAAGGAUGAAGGCUCUAUGGGUCGUAAACUUCUUUUGUAAGGGGAGAAUAAAUUCUACGUGUAGGAUGAUGACAGUACCUUACGAAUAAGCAUCGGCUAUCUCCGUGCCAGCAGCCGCGGUAAUACGGAGGAUGCGAGCGUUAUCCGGAUUUAUUGGGUGUAAAGGGCGUGUAGGCGGGACUGUAAGUCAGGCGUGAAAACCAUGGGCUCAACCCAUGGCCUGCGUUUGAAACUAUAGUUCUUGAGUGUCGGAGAGGUAAUCGGAAUUCCGUGUGUAGCGGUGAAAUGCGUAGAUAUACGGAGGAACACCAGUGGCGAAGGCGGAUUACUGGACGAUAACUGACGCUGAGGCGCGAAAGCGUGGGGAGCAAACA
rnacentral:rRNA from 1 species